rnacentral:rRNA from 1 species
CCUACGGGUGGCAGCAGUGGGGAAUAUUGCACAAUGGGGGAAACCCUGAUGCAGCGACGCCGCGUGAGUGAAGAAGUAUUUCGGUAUGUAAAGUUCUGUCAGCAGGGAAGAUAAUGACGGUACCUGACCAAGAAGCCCCGGCUAACUACGUGCCAGCAGCCGCGGUAAUACGUAGGGGGCAAGCGUUAUCCGGAAUGACUGGGCGUAAAGGGAGCGUAGACGGGAUAGCAAGUCUGAUGUGAAAGGCGAGGGCUCAACCCCCGGACUGCUCUGGAAACUGUCAUGCUGGAGUGCAGGAGAGGUAAGUGGAAUUCCUGGUGUAGGGGUGAAAUGCGUAGAGAUUAGGAGGAACACCAGUGGCGAAGGCGACUUACUGGACUGUAACUGACGUUGAGGCGCGAAAGCGUGGGGAGCAAACAGGAUUAGAUACCCCAGUAGUC